UUAGAAGCAACAAGCGUCAACUACAGAGCGAUAACGAGGAAGAAUCUACACUUCCUACGAAGUAAGUGAAGAUUUGAGUUUCAAUCUAUUGUUUAAAAUUAUCUAUGAAUUAUUGUACUGAAUCAUCAUUUUUUUAAUCUCCUUUCUUUGGUCCUUUAUAAUAAUAGUAUAUCCUUUGUAAAAGAAGUGUAAAGACAUCGACGGCAAAGAGGUAGCGUAAGCAAAGUUGGCGGAGGCAAAUAAGGAGCGUGGAAUAAAGAAAGAGUCGAGUCCACAUGGGCGGCCAUAGCGUUUGUGUCCCACCUUUGUCCCCUUGCCUCUUUCUUGCCUUUCAUGCUCCCGACAACAUCUCUCUCUCUUCCUUUAACCCUAACUUCUAUGCAUCUUCUCCCUCCUGUAUAUAUCUCUCUUUCUCUAAACCCAUCAUCAACCAAACUCACAAACAAGAACAAGAAGAACAAGGAUUCUGCUUUGGAUAUAUUACACAGAGACAUAUAGAGAGAGAGGUGUCUUGAUCUUGAAAAAAAAUGGCUUACGAGAAAGUCAAUGAGCUUAACCUUAAGGACACAGAGCUUCGUCUUGGAUUACCCGGAACGGAGCAAGAUAAGGAAGAACAAGAGGUUUCUUGCGUUAGAAGCAACAAGCGUCAACUACAGAGCGAUAACGAGGAAGAAUCUACACUUCCUACGAAGUAAGUGAAGAUUUGAGUUUCAAUCUAUUGUUUAAAAUUAUCUAUGAAUUAUUGUACUGAUGAUGAUUCUUUGCUAAUUUACAGAACUCAAAUCGUUGGUUGGCCUCCGGUGAGAUCUUACCGUAAAAACAACAACAGUGUGAGCUAUGUGAAAGUGAGUAUGGAUGGAGCUCCAUACCUUAGGAAAAUAGAUCUCAAGACAUACAAAAACUAUCCAGAGCUUCUCAAGGCAUUAGAGAACCUGUUCAAGUUCACGAUCGGUGAAUACAGCGAAAGAGAAGGAUACAAAGGAUCUGGAGUUGUACCAACGUACGAGGAUAAAGAUGGAGAUUGGAUGUUGGUUGGUGAUGUUCCAUGGGAUAUGUUCUCUUCCUCUUGUAAGAGACUCAGGAUCAUGAAAGGAUCUGAUGCUCUUGCUUUGGACUCGGCCUUAUGAUGAUGAUGAUGAUGAUGAUGAAAGCUUUUGAUGGAUGAAACCCUUUUUGAUUUGAUUCUGAUCGGAGUUUGAGUAGUUGACCACACCAAAAACAGAACAUGUCAGGGUUUUGUUCGAUGAGAUAGAUCCAUCUUCAAGGGGUUUUCUUUUUGUUUUGUUUGAUCCUUGUUUUUAGAUUUGCAGCUUGUUGUAAAGAUAGAUGAAAUUUUUGUACAAUACGGACAUAUACACAAUAUAGAUGCGUAUGUAGCAAUGUUUUGACGAAAAGAGUCUUUAAUUUCAUAGUGAUAUCUACAAUAAUUUACAAUAAAGAACCUCAUAGUAUUCUUUAGGAGAGGGCAAAAUAAGGGUUUGGAUUCGAUCAGGAAAUUUUGGAUAUUUGUAACUCCAACAAAAAAAAAUACUUACAUUUAAUUAUAGUUAAAAACUGAAAAAAUUAUAAUUACUAAAAUUUUAGAAGAUAUAUGUGUUUAUUAUAUUUAUAUGAAAGUUUGAUAUAUUUUCGCUAAAUUAUUUAUUUAUUUAUUUAUUAAAAAGUAAAAUUAAAUUACAUUUUAUUUCGUAAUGAACAUUAUUAUAAUAUGUCAAAUUUCGAAUUUUUUAAUAAAAAAUAUUUUUACAUUUAAAAAAGAUUAAUCAAGAAACAGGCCUGAUAAGAGUUUCCAAAGCCCAAUUGACUUGAGUCCAUUGAUUUUGGUUAUGUGCUAUGACGGGGCGAAUCUAGCCCAUUUAAAUUAUGGGUGCACUAUUGAUAGAAAAACAUAAAAAUACAUUAGACAAGGAUCGAACCUAAGAAACUGAGGGUGCACAUACUUCUUUUUACCAUAUAAGCUAACCAAAUUUUGAUGUUUCUACGUGUAAAAUACUAAAUUUUAAAAUAAUUGUGGGUGCACAUGUCCCCUCAUCCUUUAACUUGGCUUCGCCAGGUGUUUCCACCUUCGAUGAUCAGAUAAGUGGAGAAGGUGAAAUCUACAUAAAGCUUGAAUGAAUUGGUACAUUUGAUAUAGCAACGAAAUUAUACAUAGUAUUAAUUUAAUUUAUUUUACUUCGUAAGUCAAGCUAGGCAAGAUUGUUUUGCGUGAAAUUUCGACAGGAAGACACUUGUUUCCAGUUAAUUGGGAAAUAAUUAAUAACUAGAAUAAGACAUGCGCUAGUGCGCAUAAUGAUUUUGUUUGUAUAUAUUAUCGAUAAUUCUUUUUAUAUAUUUGUUUAUUUUGUUAAUGCAUAUACAAUAUUUUUUGCUAAUAUUAUAUAAUUUCUUUCUGAUAGAUCGGAUUAAUUUUUAUUAAAAGUUGUGGAACUAAAUUAUAAUUAAUAUAUCAUAGGUUGAUUGGAUUUAAACAAAUUGUGACACAAAAACCUUAUUUUUUUCACCGGACACAUUAUUGAAAAAAAUGAAUAGUAAUGUUUCCACAGUUGAAUUGUUUUGACAUUGAUCUUCCAUAUGGUUUUGACAUGUUUCAGAUCAACAAUCAAAUUAAUACAUGUCAUUUUAAUGAUUUUAGUCGUAUGGUUAAGUAAAACUUACAUUUUUGUAAUUUAAAUUUGUUUUAAAAAAAUUCAGAAUAUAACAUAUAAGAAAAAAUCUAACAUAUAAGAAAAAAUCUAACAUAUAAGAAAAAUAUAACAUAUAAGAUUUCCUCAUUUUUGUAAAUUAAAGUCGUUUUAAACAAAAAUUAAAUUAUAACAUAUAAGGUUUCCUCAUUUUUGUAAUUUAAAGUCAUUUUAAAAAUUUUAAAAUAUAACAUAUAAGUAAAAAAACUAGUUUUUUAAUUAUAUGGUUAAUGUGAUUAUUUUAAUUUUUUUAAUAAUAUAAAAUUUAAAAAAAAAUGAAGAAUGAUGCAAAAAUUGUUAUAAAUUUUUUAUUAUUCAUAGUCAUUAACUGUCAUAUAUAUGUUAAUACUAUUAGGUAAUUUCGUAGUUUUUAUUUAAAGAAAUAAUACAUGUUUCUUAUAUUUUGAGUUAAUAUAAUGUUUCUUAAUAACUGGAUUUGAACCAACAUUUUUUCAAUUAAUUCUUAAGCUGUCAUGUAAACUAAAUUGUCAUCCUAAUUAAGUGAUACCUAAACAGUGUCUCUUUUUAAUUAGUACAAACUUAAUGUUAUAAUUUUUUUAAUAGUCCUCAAUUAAUAUAUAGGGAUUCAUAUAAUCAUAUUUAACAUGUUUAAUGAGGGGUCGUACAUAUUUAUAAUAUAUUUUUUUUUUUAUUGCUAUCUUAGCUUAACUGGUCAUGCAUGUUUCGUAUGUUUUUGAUACUGCUAGUACAUUCAAGUCUAGUUUUGUAUAAUCUAAGUCUGUAAUCUAAUUUUCAACAGUGGUGAUAUAUAUAUUAAUGGGAAAAUUAGGGCACGAAUAAUUAAGAAUUGCAAUUCUAUACUAAGAAAAAUGAGUUGAAAACAUGUUUUGAAAGUUUAAUCCUGCGAGUUAAAACAUUUUGAGGCACCUUUUUCUUAAUAUUUGCAAAUCUAAUGUCUUAACUUUUUAUCAUAUUCAUUACUGCAUUUUGCCGCGUGCCAAUUAACAUAAGUGCACGCUACUACAAUCGAAUGGUAUAUCGAUGCAGUAUUGUAUGAUUGAAUCCAUAAAAAACUAGUGGUAUAUAACAAUAAGAAUACACAAACUUUUCUAAUCUAAGCAAAUAAGAAGAUGGAUGAUUUGUAACAAUCUAAGUAAUGACAGUAGUGAUCAUGGGCCUUUGGAGAAAGUGAAAGAGCAGUCUCAAGCCCACACGGUCACCACCAAAGUUCAGCCUAAUCCUCCUCUGUCGUCUAGUGUCAAACAGAAAGCAUUCAAGGUUCAAUCUUCUUGCUCCAGUACGACGAGGCCAGCUAAUGGCAUAACGGUUGGAAAUAGAUUUGAGUGUCUUGGUACACAGCCUGUCAUGUGCUGAGUCAGAGUAGAGGAUAAGAUCUUAUGUCUCUAUAUAAUGUAAAACGUGAACAUGUAAUCAGCAAGCAAGAAAGUAAUAAAAGUUAAAACGUUCUUCUUCACAAAACUCUAAGUUUUUUCAUGGUAUCAGAGCCAUGGAGGACUCUGACGCUAUUUCUACGCCAUCACUGAGUAUCUCUCAGUGUGUGACGUUAAAACUCACAUCUUCCAACUACUUGCUUUGGAAGACACAGUUCGAAUCCUUUCUUUACAGUCAAUCCUUGCUCGGUUUUCUCAAUGGAGGUUCUCUUCGCCCUGCUCCAACGGUAACGGUUCAAGAAGGAGAUGGAGUCACAGAGCAGCCUAAUCCUGAGUUUCAGAAGUGGAUGCGCAAAGACCAGCUUGUCAUGGCUUGGUUGUUCGGUUCUCUGUCUGAGGAUGCUCUCAGAUCUGUCUACGGUCUCACGUCAGCUCAGGAGGUCUGGUUCUGCCUUGGAAAGAAGUACAAUCGUGUCUCAGCUACAAGAAAACUAGAUCUCCAACGUAAGCUUCAAGGUAUGACUAAAAGCCAAAGAACCAUGACAGAGUAUCUAGGAGAGAUUAAGAGUAUCUGUGACCAGUUAGACUCUAUAGGGUGUAGCAUGACUGAGCAUGAGAUGAUAUAUGGUGCGUUGAGCGGUUUAGGGAAAGAGUAUGAAUCCAUAUGUACGGUUAUUGAGCAUUCUAUGGAUUCGGUUACUGAGAUGACGUUUGAAGAUGCUGUGUUCAAGCUCACUACCUUUGAUGAUAAGCUUCAGGUCUAUAACCAAAGUGCCACAGUUAAUCCUCAUCUUGCCUUUCAUGUUGGAAGGGGUUACUCUAACAACAGAGGCAGAGGAGGUUACACUAACAGAGGGGAUUAUAGAGGUGGUCGAAGCAACAACAACUACUCCACAAGGGGACGUGGCUUUCAACAGCAGUUCUCAAGUGGUAAUGGUCGUGACAAUGUUAGCUCAGGGUCCGGUUCCAACAACAGACCUACCUGCCAAAUCUGUGGGCGGUAUGGUCAUUCAGCUGCGAGAUGCUACAAUCGCUAUGAUCAAGAGUCUCAGUCUUCAGAUAACCUACCCAAUGCGCUCACCACAAUGAGACUUUCUGAUCAAGAACACAGUACCGGUCAAGAAUGGUAUCCAGAUUCUGCUGCGUCUGCCCACAUUACAAGCAACCAGUCUCAGUUAACGUCAGCAGAACCCUAUCUUGGGAAUGAUCAAGUGAUCGUUGGGAAUGGAGAUUACCUGCCAAUCACGCAUGUUGGAUCUGUCGCCUUACACACACAACAAGGUACUCUUCCUCUUGAUGAUGUGUUAGUCUGUCCUGGAAUAACAAAGUCUUUGAUAUCGGUUUCAAAACUCACUUCAGACUAUCCAUGUGAAGUUACAUUUGAUUCUGAAACUGUUUUUGUUAAGGACAAGCAAACAAAACAGGUGAUAACUCAAGGCAGAAGGGAUAAGGAUCUGUAUAUGUUGAAGGAUGCAAGAUAUCAAGCUUUUUAUUCUACAAGACAGAGAGCUACAAGUGUGGAGAUUUGGCAUCAAAGGCUAGGCCAUCCUCACAAGGACAUCCUUCAGCAGUUAGCCAGGAGUAACGCUAUCAGUUUGAAUAAAGGGGGGACAUUGGAGCUCUGUGAAGCGUGUCAGAUUGGCAAGAGUUGCAGGCUUCCUUUUCUUCUUUCAGAAACUUUUUCUAAUAGACCUUUAGAGAAGAUACAUUGUGACUUAUGGGGACCUAGUCCAGUUGUUUCUGCUCAAGGAUUUGGAUUACCCGGAAUAGAGCAAGAUAAGGAAGAACAAGAGGUUUCUUGCGUUAGAAGCAACAAGCGUCAACUACAAAGCGAUAACGAGGAAGAAUCUACACUUCCUACGAAGUAAGUAAAGAUUUGAGUUUCAAUCUAUUGUUUCAAAUUAUCUAUGAAUUGUUGUACUAAUGAUGAUUCUUUGCUAAUUUACAGAACUCAAAUCGUUGGUUGGCCUCCGGUGAGAUCUUACCGUAAAAACAACAACAGUGUGAGCUAUGUGAAAGUGAGUAUGGAUGGAGCUCCAUACCUUAGGAAAAUAGAUCUCAAGACAUACAAAAACUAUCCAGAGCUUCUCAAGGCAUUAGAGAACCUGUUCAAGUUCACGAUCGGUGAAUACAGCGAAAGAGAAGGAUACAAAGGAUCUGGAGUUGUACCAACGUACGAGGAUAAAGAUGGAGAUUGGAUGUUGGUUGGUGAUGUUCCAUGGGAUAUGUUCUCUUCCUCUUGUAAGAGACUCAGGAUCAUGAAAGGAUCUGAUGCUCUUGCUUUGGACUCGGCCUUAUGAUGAUGAUGAUGAUGAUGAUGAAAGCUUUUGAUGGAUGAAACCCUUUUUGAUUUGAUUCUGAUCGGAGUUUGAGUAGUUGACCACACCAAAAACAGAACAUGUCAGGGUUUUGUUCGAUGAGAUAGAUCCAUCUUCAAGGGGUUUUCUUUUUGUUUUGUUUGAUCCUUGUUUUUAGAUUUGCA
rnacentral:lncRNA from 1 species